UACGGAGGGUGCGAGCGUUGUCCGGAAUCACUGGGCGUAAAGGGCGCGUAGGCGGCCUGAUAAGUAGGGGGUGAAAUCCUGCGGCUUAACCGCAGGGCUGCCUUCUAAACUGUCGGGCUAGAGCACGGUAGAGGCAGAUGGAAUUCCCGGUGUAGCGGUGGAAUGCGUAGAGAUCGGGAAGAACAUCAGUGGCGAAGGCGGUCUGCUGGGCCGUUGCUGACGCUGAGGCGCGACAGCUAGGGGAGCGAAUGGG
rnacentral:rRNA from 1 species